CUGCGUUUGAACUCGAUAAAACUCGCCUGUUCGCAAUUUCCUUUGUGACAAUCAACCUUUUCUCCAUCGCUUCUGUUCGGCUCGAGACGCCAGCCAUGUGACUAUCCUGAGGGCCGCGUGCGGAGGUUGUCUCUUCGCACCCCUUUGUUUUCAAGCGCGCAGACUUGGCUGAAGGCAAAGGUUCUGGGGAGCUUUCCACCACGUCCUGGAGAAUGGUUCGUUUCUCAGAUUCCUGUCCUCGUGUCUCUCUUUUUGGCAGGCCCCCAAAACCUCUAUGUGUCUGGUCGUCAUUCGGCAGACUCCAUGCCCUGUAAUCUGCGCCUCUCCGGGUGCCUAGAGUGAGGUUCCUCAGUUCUUCGUCUUCUGCUGGACAGACGGCCGCUGAGAGAAAAGGACUUCGGGGUGUCGCAGUCAUCUUGUUUGGGCUCAACCGACUGCCAGGAUGCUGCGAGUCCCCACAACGCGACGGAGGCGAAUCGUCGGCUCGACGACCUCCUGGAAGGCCGCGGGGAACUUGGCAUUCUUGAGGGAAACCGGCCCGGAGGCGCGGUUGUGUCCUGCGACAGGUGUCUAGUUUCUUUUCGUCACCACCAUCUGACUUUUCCACGCUUGUUUUGUCGCCACCAUGCAGGCUACGGACCACACACGCGUCGUCGAUGCAGAGGCGUUUUUGAGGGUUCUGAGCUUCUGAUUUCUUUCUUUCCCCGCUGCGAGAAGCCUGAUGAGAGUCGCGAGACUCGCAUUUGUCUCUUGAUCGGUGGGGCCCUGGUUCUUCGUGGUCGGUUCCUGCGGACUCGUCUCUCCCUGUACUUGCUGGUGAAGCGGACUUUCUCCUCCGGGAUUUCACAUCUCUUUCCAGAGAAGGCCUCCGUCUCGUGGACGAAUGUUUCCUUCUUCUACUGUCUUUCUGGUUUGUGGAGCUCGCCUCUCGAGUGCGUCGAGGCUCGUUGUCGUGAAAGCCAGAGUCUCCAGCAAGGGCGAUCCAGCCUGUUUCGCUUCUACCCCUCGCUAUGCCAGAACUACUUUGCAGCAAACUGGUCGGAGCUCGACCCCUCAACUCAUCGGCGGUGGUGCUCCUCCGAUCGAGGUCGCGGCAGCGCGUCGCCUUCUGACUCGGGGAGAGACGGGUGCGCGCAAUCUGGAGAUCACCGUUUUCGCAGCCAGCCGAGCGGCACUUGCGGAAAUGAUUAUGGGCCUCAUCAAGCGCUUUGAAGAGUCCCUGCCGGAUGCUUGUAAGGUCGUCGACGCGAAAUACUUUGCCUCCAAUUGCUAGUUUUGCCUCUAGGUUUACGGGUUUGCUGAGGAGCGAAGAACUUGAUUGAAUAGUCGAGGACACAGGCCCCCGCGUCCUUCUCUCCUCUGUGGCGCCCGUGCGCUUGACGUUUUUCCUCUCGAUUCGCGGCUUGCUCUUCUGUGGGGCUUCCAGAGACCCCUCGCCCUCCUCGAUCACCAGCGGCGAGUCACGCAAGCUGCUCUUACUGCUUUCCCGGCUGGUUCCUUCUAGGCGACUCCAUGCCCUGUCCAGGGCCUCCUCUGCCGCGGCGGAGAGAGCGCUACAGUAGCUGUUUUCGUCGCUGUCUUCAAGCCGUCUUUGUCGUUCCGCAUGGGUAUUCUUCGCACCCUUCUUCCGAUUCUUCCCGUCCAGUUUCCAGUCUUCCUCUUGCAUCUGGUCCUCCACCUUGUGGUCGCGACCCUCACGGGCAACCUUCUUGUCUCCGCCUCUCUCCAGCGCCGAGAGUUCCCCUUGCCCUCCGUUUCGUAUUCUUCUCAGUUGCGCCUGCAGGUCCGCAAUGACGCGGUGGCUUGCGCUGGGGUGCGACUGGUCCGAUCGAUUACUGGUGCGUUUUUGCGAUGACGGAGCGGCAGAAGACAGCAGGAGAGAAGACGAUUGGCUAACGUUUAGGUUUUUCAGGCGGACACUGGAAGGGACCAAGGAGGGAUCGUGGGGAUCCGCCUCGGACACCUGCAACCCACUGCGAAGAGUGGUUCCCCGUGGCGCUUCCCUUCCCGGCGGAGAAAAAGGCGAGAACGAAUAAAAUGCUGUUUUCUCUGGAAACAGACCCCCGCGCGACAGACUGGACUCGACACUCUCCUUUCCCCUCGGCGCGGAACCCCUGUUCGGGGAGCCGCCUUGUUCUGCAUGUUUCACUUCCAGAAGUCGAGUGUCGUUUUUUGUUCCCGAAUCGCGAGUUUUCUCACUCAGAGAAUGCCUGCAUUUCGCUACCAUUGUUUCUUUGAGUGAAGCCUGCCGUCCAUCAAAUGGACUUUUCUUACGCCUACUCGUUUCUGCCGCGACUCCUUGACAGUCUGGUCCUGAUGGUCCGAUGAUACAUGCUUCUCCUCCCUUUCCUCUCUCCUGGUCUGCUGGAGUGUAGUCUCCCGUAUAAUGCGGAGGAAAGGGGGCUGCAAAUGGAGCAUCGGAUCCUGCAGUUUCCGAAGGAGCACAAGGCCUGCGGGGCGUCUGAUGAGACACGCCAGCGUCAGGAGAGCAGGAUGAACAACUACCAGACGCAGUGCAGAGAUGAACAGCAGACAGGGACGGAAGCGAGGAACCGGAGUCGUUCGAGCAUUUGUCCACUUUAGACGGAGCUGUUUCCUUUUGUUCCUUUCCUUCCUCUUGGAGAUGCAUUCGCAGGCGAGCGCGCAUCUCUGCAACAGUGGCCGCGUGGCUAGAAGCGCCAGAGAAAGAGGAGGGUGGACGAGAAGAAUGCGAUGAAAAGGAAAACGCUUCCAAUCCAGAGGCCUCUACUGGGGGGCUGAGGCAGCAGCGAAGCGUCCGCACAGAAAAAGGUGAAUUUACGUUUUUAGUGGAAAGAGAACGGUGACCGGCGGUCGGCGCGUCCGUCGGGAUCGAGCCUGCGAGAGUGAAGUUUUCGGCUCGCCGAAAGGGUAUGUUCGCGGAACGCUGACUGUUAGACGACACUGGAGGAACACGGCUUGUCGAUGGGGAAACGAUGGACCCUCCCAGGGGGCUACACGGUCCAGGAGAGGCAGGUCCACGCCGAUGUGCCGUUGCGACACCUGGCCCAGAGUCCAGGGGAGAAGAGAAUUUAGAACUGGAAGGAACAGCCGCCAAAUCCGGCAUUGUACAAUAAAACGAAAGGAAGUUAACA
rnacentral:lncRNA from 1 species